GACGAACGCUGGCGGCGUGCUUAACACAUGCAAGUCGAACGGAAAGGCCCUGCUUUUGUGGGGUGCUCGAGUGGCGAACGGGUGAGUAACACGUGAGUAACCUGCCCUUGACUUUGGGAUAACUUCAGGAAACUGGGGCUAAUACCGGAUAGGAGCUCCUGCUGCAUGGUGGGGGUUGGAAAGUUUCGGCGGUUGGGGAUGGACUCGCGGCUUAUCAGCUUGUUGGUGGGGUAGUGGCUUACCAAGGCUUUGACGGGUAGCCGGCCUGGGAGGGUGACCGGCCACAUUGGGACUGAGAUACGGCCCAGACUCCUACGGGAGGCAGCAGUGGGAAAUAUUGCACAAUGGGCGGAAGCCGGAUGCAGCAACGCCGCGUGCGGGAUGACGGCCUUCGGGUUGUAAACCGCUUUCGCCUGUGACGAAGCGUGAGUGACGGUAAUGGGUAAAGAAGCACCGGCUAACUACGUG
rnacentral:rRNA from 1 species